CCCGAGCUCCCAAAUCCAAAAGGGUGUGGAAGAGGAGGAGCAGUAGCAACCCUUUUCCGUGACGCGCGUGACCGGUGCUUUCUAAUCUCCACCUCCCUCCCGGUGCAAUCAGUCAGCCCGGAGGCACCAAACUGUUAGCGUCGGAGACGCAGCUCUAGGUGAUUUCCACUACCUUCAUACCCCCACUCUAGGCCUUUUGGAGGCAGCAACAGCUGUGGCAGAAUGUAACGCGAGCCUGGAGCGCACUUCCAGGGCGCUGCUCCCUCUUCGGAGCGAGGGGGGGGGGGGGCCCGUGUAGGUUUUUGCGCACAGACUGGAGAGAGUUCCGGGGGAAAGCCUGGAGCAGCGAACAGGCGGGAGAGAGGUGGGCAGGCAGAGUUCGCACCUGCAGCCUGCGCUGCGGUCUGGGCGGUAGGGCUGCUGCCCUUUAGGGCAUGCGUGCCUCAUGAAGAGAGAGAACCACAGGCUGAGGCCCCUGCAUCCCUCGUUGUACCAUUUGGCCAAGACAAGGUGUGGCUGGAGCACUACCGCUCUGAAGCAAAGUCGCAAAGGAAGAGGUUGAGAGGCAGGCGACUUAGAAGAGUCUGGUCACGGAGCCAAGAGGAGGCGCCCGAGGUUCUAGCGAAGGGGAAGAGUAAUUUAGGAACCCUUUUUAGCCUGUCCCUGCCCAGCUCCUCCUAAAGUCCACAAAAGCUCUCCUGAAGUCUAGAAAUCCUCCCUGGGUGGGGACAAGUUUCCUAGCAUUCUCUUUGGCUAGGACCGGGAGUGGAGAAAACACGCGGGGCUGCUCCGUCUGCUGCUCUCGAAGACACGUUUUCCUCCAAGCCGCCUUCAGCUCCAAUCGCCUUUGGGUAGCCUCCCUUUUCGCCCUGGAAGCUCAAGCCCACGCUGUUUGGAACCCAACUCUCCAUUUAGCCCUGGACUGCGGCCCAUCGCCCCAGACGUGGAACUGCAUGCCUGAGCCCUGCUGGACAUCGCCGGUUGCUGUGCAAGACUCAGCUACUGAAGAAAGUGAACAAUGAAGCCACCAUUUCUUUUGGCCCUUGUGGUCUCUUCUGUAGUCAGCACAAAUUUGAGGAUGGUAUCAAAGAGAAAUUCUGUGGAUGGCUGCAUUGACUGGUCAGUGGAUCUCAAGACAUACAUGGCUUUGGCAGGUGAACCAGUACGGGUGAAAUGUGCCCUUUUCUACAGUUAUAUUCGCACCAACUAUAGCAUGGCCCAGAGCACUGGACUCAGGCUUAUGUGGUACAAAAACAAGGGUGAUUUGGAAGAGCCCAUCAUCUUUUCAGAGGUCAGGAUGAGCAAAGAAGAAGAUUCAAUAUGGUUUCACUCAGCUGAGGCACAAGACAGUGGUUUCUACACUUGUGU